rnacentral:miRNA from 1 species
UCCCUCUUCCGGUCUCGAUC